AAAAUAAUAAUAAUUAAAAAAAAUUAAAUACAUACAUACAUAGAACUCUCCCUUAAACGGCAAAAAUUGCUACUAUAUCAUACACUUUGAAUUUGAACGUUUUAGGAAGUAGGCCUAUCUCUUAUAGUCUUUGUGUCACUGGUGUGCUGGUCGGAUGUAUUUUAUGUGCGGAGCGUAUGCGACAACUUUGGAGGCAAAAGAAUGAGAGAAAAAAAAAAUAAAUUAAAUAAAAUCGACACCCAUAAAAAGUAAUAUUUAUAUUUAAUAAGGGGAAUUGAUAUGGCCAGUCCGAGUGCAGGAGGUUCUGAGCUCGAUGGAGUAGGAGAAGGGAAAUCGCAGACCGGGGCAGCCGGAGAUGAGAGAUUAACCUCGGCUGCACCUCGACUCGAAGAGCCGCCGCCGCCCCCCCGCAGCACGGCUGUCCUGUCUUUGCCGCAGCAUCGCCGUAUGGUGUGCGCUGAGUACCCGUGUCGGGUGCUGAAUGUGGGGAAGAUGCUGGAGACGCUCGGGGGCGAGGAAGGGAUGUCCAGAACCUACGCCGAUCCUUCCAAGCGCCUGGAGCUGUACUUCCGCCCGCGGGACCCCUACUGUCACCCCGUGUGCGGGAACCGCUUCCCCUCCACCAGCAUGCUGCUGCGGGUCCGGAGACGAGUCCCCAAACCCCGGGGCCAGGGGGACAGAGCACCCCCUGCAGGAGACACCGCGCAGCAAAGCCAGAUCGACAUGGAGAUACUGGGGGUCAUCUGCACCACAUACAAGUUUCAAGGGCUGGCUGAUUUUCAGUACCUGGCUGUGCACACGGAAGCCGAGGGCACCCAGAGCUCCAUGUACAAUAAGAUCCUGCUGCGGCGCCCGGAGAAGAAAGAGUUCUUCGAUCAAGAAAUGCCUCUCUACAUCCCCCCGCCCAUCUUCUCACGCCUCGAUAACCCUGUCGAUUACUUCUACCGGCCUGACAUCCAGCACAGAGAAGGGUACCUGCCCCCCCAGCUGUCCAGCGAGAAUCUGAUUGGCUUGAGUCGCGCCCGGCGCCCCCACAACGCAAUCUUUGUGAAUUUCGAGGAUAAGGCGGUUCCCACCGAGGCCCUGGAGGCCGCCGUGCUGAACUGGAAGCGUGUUUGCAGCCACCCCAACGAGCAGCAGAGCGAGGAGGAGCUGCGGCAGCUGUUUCAGUCACGGCCCGUCUGGUCCCGGAACGCGGUGAAGGCAAACCUGGAGAUCCACCCCGAGAAACUGAAGCUGCUGCUGCCUUACGUUGCCUACUACAUGCUCACCGGCCCCUGGAGGAGUCUGUGGGUCCGGUUUGGCUAUGAUCCCAGGAAGGACCCCAAGGCAAAGGCGUACCAGGUCUUGGACUUCAGGAUCCGCUGCGGAAUGAAACACGGCUAUGCUCCGAACGACAUGCCAGUGAAGGCUAAGAGGAGCACCUACAACUACAGCCUGCCAGUCACCAUCAAGAAGGCAGUGCCGCAGCCAGCCAGCUUGCAGGAGUUCACCCAGGGGCUGACCAUCUCCAGCACGACCAGCGGCAGGAAGCCCGCCCCCUCCAGGUACAAACUCAAAGAGUCUGCGUAUGUUUUCCGUGAGGCGACCCUGCCUCCCUACAGACAGAUGUUUUACCAGCUGUGCGAUCUGAAGGUGGAAAGGCUGACGAAGAUCGUCCAUCGCAACGACGGCGAGGAGUCUGAGUGCACGGAGCGGGACGGCUGGUGCCUGCCCAAGACCAACGACGAGCUGCGAGACAUCAUGUCCAGCAUGAUCAAGCAGAUCAUCCGCUCCAAGAGACCAGGUAACAGGACGCCCCUCCACUCUCUGAGACAUCAUGUCCAGCAUGAUCAAGCAGAUCAUCCGCUCCAAGAGACCAGGUAACAGGACGCCCCUCCACUCUCUGAGACAUCAUGUCCAGCAUGAUCAAGCAGAUCAUCCGCUCCAAGAGACCAGGUAACAGGACGCCCCUCCACUCUCUUGAGACAUCAUGUCCAGCAUGAUCAAGCAGAUCAUCCUCUCCAAGAGACCAGGUAACAGGACGCCCCUCCACUCUCUGAGACAUCAUGUCCAGCAUGAUCAAGCAGAUCAUCCGCUCCAAGAGACCAGGUAACAGGACGCCCCUCCACUCUCUGAGACAUCAUGUCCAGCAUGAUCAAGCAGAUCAUCCGCUCCAAGAGACCAGGUAACAGGACGCCCCUCCACUCUCUGAGACAUCAUGUCCAGCAUGAUCAAGCAGAUCAUCCGCUCCAAGAGACCAGGUAACAGGACGCCCCUCCACUCUCUGAGACAUCAUGUCCAGCAUGAUCAAGCAGAUCAUCCGCUCCAAGAGACCAGGUAACAGGACGCCCCUCCACUCUCUGAGACAUCAUGUCCAGCAUGAUCAAGCAGAUCAUCCGCUCCAAGAGACCAGGUAACAGGACGCCCCUCCACUCUCUGAGACAUCAUGUCCAGCAUGAUCAAGCAGAUCAUCCGCUCCAAGAGACCAGGUAACAGGGCGCCCCUCCACUCUCUGAGACAUCAUGUCCAGCAUGAUCAAGCAGAUCAUCCGCUCCAAGAGACCAGGUAACAGGGCGCCCCUCCACUCUCUGAGACAUCAUGUCCAGCAUGAUCAAGCAGAUCAUCCGCUCCAAGAGACCAGGUAACAGGACGCCCCUCCACUCUCUGAGACAUCAUGUCCAGCAUGAUCAAGCAGAUCAUCCUCUCCAAGAGACCAGGUAACAGGACGCCCCUCCACUCUCUGAGACAUCAUGUCCAGCAUGAUCAAGCAGAUCAUCCGCUCCAAGAGACCAGUUAACAGGGCGCCCCUCCACUCUCUGAGACAUCAUGUCCAGCAUGAUCAAGCAGAUCAUCCUCUCCAAGAGACCAGGUAACAGGACGCCCCUCCACUCUCUGAGACAUCAUGUCCAGCAUGAUCAAGCAGAUCAUCCUCUCCAAGAGACCAGGUAACAGGACGCCCCUCCACUCUCUGAGACAUCAUGUCCAGCAUGAUCAAGCAGAUCAUCCUCUCCAAGAGACCAGCUCUAUUCCCCACCAAGACCAAGUCAUCGGGUAAG